AGUUUGCCAGGUUAACAGCCUUGCAGGUGACGCUGAUGCCGUUGGCCUCGGGAUAGCACUUUGAGAGCCCCUGAUUACACUGAUGCUUCGUAGUUGGGAUUCAUCUAUUUUUCCUUCUUAUAUAAUUCCAUUAUGUGAAUAUACCUCAGUUUUUAUAUCCAUUCUCCUGGUGAUGGGCAUUUGGGUUGCUUCCAACAGUUGAGUUAAGAGCACUUUUGUAUGAGUCUUCUGUCAAAUAUUAAGUUUUUAUUGAAUGAAGUAAGAAAACAUCCAAGUAUUCCACUUGUAUUUAAUGGGUUUGACAAGAGAAAACUGAAGUGCUGUUGAUUAUUAAACAGGGAGGAGGAGGAAAGAGCUUGUAAUUUUGGAGUAGGAAAAGGGCAGGCACAUAGUUGUUGCUUCUAUUCCAGUGGCAUCUGACAGGAGAAAAAACAUAACUACCCUUACGAGAGAGUGGAAGAAGCCCCAUGGACAUAUAUGUUACUGCCAUUCCCUUCUCCAGACAUACAUUGCCACUUCUGAAUUAGUAAAAUCACUGCAGAUGGUGAUUGCA